rnacentral:rRNA from 1 species
GGAGAAAAGCAGGGGAUCGCAAGACCUUGCGCUCUUGGAGCGGCCGAUGUCUGAUUAGCUAGUUGGUGAGGUAAAGGCUUACCAAGGCGACGAUCAGUAGCUGGUCUGAGAGGACGACCAGCCACACUGGGACUGAGACACGGCCCAGACUCCUACGGGAGGCAGCAGUGGGGAAUUUUGGACAAUGGGGGAAACCCUGAUCCAGCCAUGCCGCGUGAGUGAAGAAGGCCUUCGGGUUGUAAAGCUCUUUCAGCCGGAACGAAACGGUCACGGCUAAUACCUGUGACUACUGACGGUACCGGAAGAAGAAGCACCGGCUAACUACGUGCCAGCAGCCGCGGUAAUACGUAGGGUGCAAGCGUUAAUCGGAAUUACUGGGCGUAAAGCGUGCGCAGGCGGUUUUGUAAGUCAGAUGUGAAAUCCCCGGGCUUAACCUGGGAACUGCGUUUGAAACUACAAGGCUAG